GCCAGGCUCUGCAAAGCAUCCCAAACAUACCUGGAGCCAGGUAUUUGGAAUUACCUUGGAUGUACCUUUCUAUCUCAGCACUUCCCUACAUCCCUGUGAAUACUUAGCUAAUGCAUUCCACCUGCCAGAGUCACCAGGGGAACUCCAGAGACAAGCUUCAAGCUGCUCCCACAGGCUUCUAGUAACACAUGCAUUGAAUUGAUAAACAGCAAAGGUAUGUGCAAGACAGGAUUAGUG
rnacentral:lncRNA from 12 species